rnacentral:rRNA from 1 species
UGCCGCGUGAGUGAAGAAGGCCUUCGGGUUGUAAAGCUCUUUUGUCAGGGAAGAAACGGUGGACUCUAAUACAGAUCACUAAUGACGGUACCUGAAGAAUAAGCACCGGCUAACUACGUGCCAGCAGCCGCGGUAAUACGUAGGGUGCAAGCGUUAAUCGGAAUUACUGGGCGUAAAGCGUGCGCAGGCGGUUUGGUAAGACAGAUGUGAAAUCCCUGGGCUCAACCUGGGAAUUGCAUUUGAGACUGCCCGACUAGAGUGUGUCAGAGGGGGGUAGAAUUCCACGUGUAGCAGUGAAAUGCGUAGAGAUGUGGAGGAAUACCGAUGGCGAAGGCAGCCCCCUGGGAUAACACUGACGCUCAUGCACGAAAGCGUGGGGAGCAAACAGGAUUAGAUACCCUGGUAGUCCACGCCCUAAACGAUGUCUACUAGUUGUUGGGUCUUAAUUGACUUAGUAACGCAGCUAACGCGUGAAGUAUACCGCCUGGG